CUUCGUCCUCGUCCUGGAGGUGAUGCCGGUCGUCCGGGUGCCCGCGCGCUUCUCAGGCCGACUGUGGUGGUGGCGACACCCCCGCGGCUCUGCGCCUCGACGUACACGGCGGAGCUCCGAGCAUGGGCGGCGGGUUGAAAGCAGUAAAUGCUACAAGAGUCAGAUGUCUGCAGUGUGCCAUUUUGCACACAUAUGAGAUGGAUCACAGGCUCCGAUUUGCUUAUUUAAACGAUGCCCCCUUGCCAACCACAAAUAGAAAAGUCUAGCGCGUCCUUAGCAUUUCUGUGACGACUCUUUCUAUGAUUACUUCCCUGUUUUGAACGCGACGUGACGACGUCUCCAAGCAGAUGCGAGUUCUCCCCAAUGUCUUGACAGCGAGGAGUGAAAGUGGGUCAGAUGUGUGUUUUUUAUUUAAGCGAGAUCGCAAACCUCUGCCAAGAGCUUCCGUGGAGACGUCUGGUCUGUCUGACACGCUUCCUAGACAGGAGCCAGGGGAGUGAGUCCAGGAGACAGCAUGGGGGGACGUAAACAAUCUCCGUCAAUAUUUCUUCCAGUUCAAAUGUACUAACCUGGAUUUAAAAAAAAGAAAA